CUUAAAGGAAUUGACGGAAGGGCACCACCAGGAAUGGAUCAUGCGGCUUAAUUUGACUCAACACGGGGAAACUUACCCGGCCCGGACGCAGGAAGGAUUGACAGAUUAAGAGCUCUUUCUUGAUUCUGCGGGUUGUGGUGCAUGGCCGUUCUUCGAUGGUGGAGCGAUUUGUCUGGUUAAUUCCGGUAACGAUCGAGACUCUAGCCUGCUAAAUAGACGCCCCGGUCCUACACGCCGGGCGGUCUUCUUAGAGGGACAAGCGGCGUUUAGCCGCGCGAGACGGAGCAAUAACAGGUCUGUGAUGCCCUUAGAUGUCCGGGGCCGCACGCGCGCUACAUUGAAGGGGUCAGCGUGUGCUUUCCCGGCCUGACAAGGCUGGGUAACCCGUUGAACCUCCUUCGUGCUUGGGAUCGGCGUUUGUAACUGUCCGCCGUGAACGAGGAAUUCCUAGUAAGCGCUGAGUCAUCAGCUCGCGCUGAUUAAGUCCCUGCCCUUUGUUCACACCGCCCGUCGCUACUACCGAUGAAUGAUUUAGUGAGGUCUUCAGACUGGCGCCCGAUGUGGUCUUAGGAUCGUGUCGGCGUGCCGGAAAGAUGUCCAAACUUGACCAUCUAGAGGAAGUAAAAGUCGUAACAAGGUUGCCCAUGCAUGUCUAAGUACAUGCCGUAUAAAGGCGAAACCGCGAAUGGCUCAUUAAAUCAGUUAUGGUUCCUUGGAUCGUACCUUACUACUUGGAUAACUGUGGCAAUUCUAGAGCUAAUACAUGCAGCAGAGCUCCGACCUUCGGGGACGAGCGCUUUUAUUAGAACAAAACCCAUCGGACCUCGUGUCCGUCUCUUGUGGUGACUCUGUAUAACUUUGGGCUGAUCGCACGGGCCUGUCCCGGCGACGUAUCCUUCAAGUAUCUGCCUUAUCAACUUUCGAUGGUAGGUUACGCGCCUACCAUGGUCGUAACGGGUAACGGGGAAUCAGGGUUCGAUUCCGGAGAGGGAGCCUGAGAAACGGCUACCACAUCCAAGGAAGGCAGCAGGCGCGCAAAUUACCCAAUCCCAGAACGGGGAGGUAGUGACGAAAAAUAACAAUACGGGACUCUUUUGAGACCCCGUAAUUGGAAUGAGUACACACUAAAUCCUUUAACGAUUAUCCAUUAGAGCAAGAGUCUGGUGCCAGCACGCGCGGUAAUUCCAGCUCUAAUAGCGUAUAUUAAAGUUGUUGCGGUUAAAAAGCUCGUAGUUGGAUCUCAGUUCCAGACGGGUGGUCCGCCUACCGGUGGUUACUGCCUGUUCUGAACAGCCAGCCGGUUUCUCUUGAUGAUCUUCACCGGUUGUCUUGAGUGACCGGCAAGUUUACUUUGAAAAAAUUAGAGUGCUCAAGGCAGGCGUGACGCCUGAAUAAUGGUGCAUGGAAUAAUGGAAUAGGACCUCGGUUCUAUUUUGUUGGUUUUCGGAACACGAGGUAAUGAUUAAGAGGGACAGACGGGGGCAUUCGUAUGCGACGCUAGAGUGAAAUUC
rnacentral:rRNA from 1 species